GGACUACCGGGGUAUCUAAUCCUGUUCGCUACCCACGCUUUCGCGCUUCAGUGUCAGUAUUAUGCCAGGUGCCUGCCUUCGCCAUCGACGUUCCUUCCGAUCUCUACGCAUUUCACCGCUACACCGGAAAUUCCGACACCCUCUCAUAUACUCCAGUCACAACGUUUGCGAUGCGCUUCCUAGGUUAAGCCCAGGGCUUUCACAUCACACUCUUGUAACCACCUACGCGCCCUUUACGCCCAGUAACUCCGAUUAACGCUUGCACCCUCUGUAUUACCGCGGCUGCUGGCAC
rnacentral:rRNA from 1 species